rnacentral:rRNA from 1 species
AUUGAACGCUAGCGGGAUGCUUUACACAUGCAAGUCGAACGAGUGGCGGACGGGUGAGUAAUAUAUCGGAACGUGCCCAGUAGCGGGGGAUAACUACUCGAAAGAGUGGCUAAUACCGCCUACUCUUGGAGCGGCCCAUAUCGGAUUAGCUAGUUGGGGGGGUAACGGCUCACCAAGGCAACGAUCCGUAGCUGGUUUGAGAGGGCGACCAGCAAAACUGGGACUGGGAAACGGCCCAGACUCCUACGGGAGGCAGCAGUGGGGAAUUUUGGAAAAUGGGGGAAAACCUGAUCCAGCCAUCCCGCGUGUAUGAGAAGGCCUUCGGGUUGUAAAGUACUUUUGGCAGAGAAGCGGUAUCUGCAGAAUAAGCACCGGCUAACUACGUGCCAGCAGCCGCGGUAAUAC